rnacentral:rRNA from 1 species
CGUCUAUAUACGUAUAGCAUAUCAAUAAGCGGAGGAAAAGAAACUAACUAGGAUUCCCUCAGUAACGGCGAGUGAAGCGGGAAGAGCUCAAAUUUGAAAUCUUCAAGGUUUCUACCUUGACGAAUUGUAGUUUAAAGAAGUGUUUUCUGUUGGAAUUUUGGUAAAAGUUCUUUGGAAUAGGACAUCGUAGAGGGUGAGAAUCCCGUAUUUGACCAUUAUUUCCAGCUUUGUGAUACACUUUCAAAGAGUCGGAUUGUUUGGGAAUGCAGUCCAAAAUGGGUGGUAAAUUUCAUCUAAAGCUAAAUAUUGGCGAGAGACCGGUAGCGAACAAGUACCGUGAGGGAAAGAUGAAAAGAACUUUGAAAAGAGAGUUAAACAGUACGUGAAAUUGUCAAAAGGGAAGCGUUUGACACCAGUGUUGUUUUCUCGAAAAUCAAUUAAAAAAGGCUGGAUUUUGUGUUGUAUUGACUUUAUCAGCUUUCUGCACUCUUUUCUUGUCUUUUUUAAUGCACUUUUCGUUUAACAAGUCAACAUCAAUUUCUUUUGUUGUAAAAGGGUCAUUGGAAGGUGGCUUUCUUUUCGGAGAAAGUGUUUAUAGCCUUUGGCCUCUGCAAUCGGAGAGAUUGAGGUCUGCAGCGUAGAUCCUUCGGGGUUAGAUACAUUUGUGCUAAGUUAUAGCCUUUCAUAGACAACUUGUUGACUAUGAUCAGUCAUGUAGCUUACUCGCUUAUGCUAUUUUACCUACGCUUAGGAUGUUGAUGUGAUACUGCGAGC